GAGCGUGACGGCGCGAGCAGGUGCGAAAGCAGGUCAUAGUGAUCCGGUGGUUCUGAAUGGAAGGGCCAUCGCUCAACGGAUAAAAGGUACUCCGGGGAUAACAGGCUGAUACCGCCCAAGAGUUCAUAUCGACGGCGGUGUUUGGCACCUCGAUGUCGGCUCAUCACAUCCUGGGGCUGAAGUAGGUCCCAAGGGUAUGGCUGUUCGCCAUUUAAAGUGGUACGCGAGCUGGGUUUAGAACGUCGUGAGACAGUUCGGUCCCUAUCUGCCGUGGGCGCUGGAGAAUUGAGGGGGGCUGCUCCUAGUACGAGAGGACCGGAGUGGACGCAUCACUGGUGUUCGGGUUGUCAUGCCAAUGGCACUGCCCGGUAGCUAAAUGCGGAAGAGAUAAGUGCUGAAAGCAUCUAAGCACGAAACUUGCCCCGAGAUGAGUUCUCCCUGAGACUUUAAGUCUCCUGAAGGAACGUUAAAGACGAUGACGUUGAUAGGCCGGGUGUGUAAGCGCAGCGAUGCGUUGAGCUAACCGGUACUAAUGAACCGUGAGGCUUAACCUUACAACGCCGAAG
rnacentral:rRNA from 1 species